GACGAACGUUGGCGGCGUGCUUAACACAUGCAAGUCGAACGGAAAGGCCCUGCUUUUGUGGGGUGCUCGAGUGGCGAACGGGUGAGUAACACGUGAGUAACCUGCCCUUGACUUUGGGAUAACUUCAGGAAACUGGGGCUAAUACCGGAUAGGAGCUCCUGCUGCAUGGUGGGGGUUGGAAAGUUUCGGCGGUUGGGGAUGGACUCGCGGCUUAUCAGCUUGUUGGUGGGGUAGUGGCUUACCAAGGCUUUGACGGGUAGCCGGCCUGAGAGGGUGACCGGCCACAUUGGGACUGAGAUACGGCCCAGACUCCUACGGGAGGCAGCAGUGGGGAAUAUUGCACAAUGGGCGGAAGCCUGAUGCAGCAACGCCGCGUGCGGGAUGACGGCCUUCGGGUUGUAAACCGCUUUCGCCUGUGACGAAGCGUGAGUGACGGUAAUGGGUAAAGAAGCACCGGCUAACUACGUGCCAGCAGCCGCGGUGAUACGUAGGGUGCGAGCGUUGUCCGGAUUUAUUGGGCGUAAAGGGCUCGUAGGUGGUUGAUCGCGUCGGAAGUGUAAUCUUGGGGCUUAACCCUGAGCGUGCUUUCGAUACGGGUUGACUUGAGGAAGGUAGGGGAGAAUGAAAUUCCUGGUGGAGCGGUGGAAUGCGCAGAUAUCAGGAGGAACACCAGUGGCGAAGGCGGUUCUCUGGGCCUUUCCUGACGCUGAGGAGCGAAAGCGUGGGGAGCGAACAGGCUUAGAUACCCUGGUAGUCCACGCUGUAAACGGUGGGUACUAGGUGUGGGGUCCAUUCCACGGGUUCCGUGCCGUAGCUAACGCUUUAAGUACCCCGCCUGGGGAGUACGGCCGCAAGGCUAAAACUCAAAGGAAUUGACGGGGCCCCGCACAAGCGGCGGAGCAUGCGGAUUAAUUCGAUGCAACGCGUAGAACCUUACCUGGGUUUGACAUGGAUCGGGAGUGCUCAGAGAUGGGUGUGCCUCUUUUGGGGUCGGUUCACAGGUGGUGCAUGGCUGUCGUCAGCUCGUGUCGUGAGAUGUUGGGUUAAGUCCCGCAACGAGCGCAACCCUUGUUCACUGUUGCCAGCACGUUAUGGUGGGGACUCAGUGGAGACCGCCGGGGUCAACUCGGAGGAAGGUGGGGAUGACGUCAAGUCAUCAUGCCCCUUAUGUCCAGGGCUUCACGCAUGCUACAAUGGCUGGUACAGAGAGUGGCGAGCCUGUGAGGGUGAGCGAAUCUCGGAAAGCCGGUCUCAGUUCGGAUUGGGGUCUGCAACUCGACCUCAUGAAGUCGGAGUCGCUAGUAAUCGCAGAUCAGCAACGCUGCGGUGAAUACGUUCCCGGGGCU
rnacentral:rRNA from 1 species